GGAUGUGAGGGUGAUCUGGCUGCGACAUCUGUCACCCCAUUGAUGGCCGGGGUUGAUUCGGCUGAUCUGGCUGGCUAGGGGGGUGUCCCCUUCCUCCCUCACCGCUACAUGUGCGUCCCUAAGCUGCGAGCUUGGUAGGAGAGGAAGGCCUGCCCGGAAUAGAGACAGACAGACCGGUCUUUGGUAGAGGGUAUACGAGUAGCUGCACUCCCCUGCUAGAACCUCCAAACAAGCUCUCAAGGGCCAAACAAACAAAUUAAUAAAUAAAUCCCUCCAUUGAUCUGGUUAAAAAUAAAUUUAAACAUUUGAGUUAUUUAUUU
ensembl:misc_RNA 7SK 7SK RNA